UACUGCAAGUCGAGCGGACAGAUGGGAGCUUGCUCCCUGAUGUUAGCGGCGGACGGGUGAGUAACACGUGGGUAACCUGCCUGUAAGACUGGGAUAACUCCGGGAAACCGGGGCUAAUACCGGAUGGUUGUCUGAACCGCAUGGUUCAGACAUAAAAGGUGGCUUCGGCUACCACUUACAGAUGGACCCGCGGCGCAUUAGCUAGUUGGUGAGGUAACGGCUCACCAAGGCGACGAUGCGUAGCCGACCUGAGAGGGUGAUCGGCCACACUGGGACUGAGACACGGCCCAGACUCCUACGGGAGGCAGCAGUAGGGAAUCUUCCGCAAUGGACGAAAGUCUGACGGAGCAACGCCGCGUGAGUGAUGAAGGUUUUCGGAUCGUAAAGCUCUGUUGUUAGGGAAGAACAAGUGCCGUUCAAAUAGGGCGGCACCUUGACGGUACCUAACCAGAAAGCCACGGCUAACUACGUGCCAGCAGCCGCGGUAAUACGUAGGUGGCAAGCGUUGUCCGGAAUUAUUGGGCGUAAAGGGCUCGCAGGCGGUUUCUUAAGUCUGAUGUGAAAGCCCCCGGCUCAACCGGGGAGGGUCAUUGGAAACUGGGGAACUUGAGUGCAGAAGAGGAGAGUGGAAUUCCACGUGUAGCGGUGAAAUGCGUAGAGAUUUUGAGGAACACCAGUNGGCUAAGGCGACUUCUCUUGGUCUGUAACUUGACGCCUUAU
rnacentral:rRNA from 1 species